rnacentral:rRNA from 1 species
UAGAGGAUGUUUCGGGCGCGGCGCGGGUCUAAGUCCUUUGGAACAGGGCGUCACAGAGGGUGAGAAUCCCGUAUGUGACCCGUGAUCAAGCCCAUGUGAAACCCCUUCGACGAGUCGAGUUGUUUGGGAAUGCAGCUCAAAAUGGGUGGUAAAUUUCAUCUAAAGCUAAAUACCGGCCAGAGACCGAUAGCGCACAAGUAGAGUGAUCGAAAGAUGAAAAGCACUUUGGAAAGAGAGUCAAAAAGUACGUGAAAUUGUUGAAAGGGAAGCGCUUGCAACCAGACCUGUCCGCGGGCGAUCAACUCCCGUUCUCGGGGGUGCACUCGUUCGCGAUCAGGCCAGCAUCGGUUUGGGCGGCCGGAUAAAGGCUUUGGGAAUGUAGCUCCUUCCGGGGAGUGUUAUAGCCCUUGGUGUAAUGCGGCCAGCCCAGACCGAGGACCGCGCUUUCGGGCUAGGAUGCUGGCGUAAUGGUUGUAAGCGACCCGUCUUGAAACACGGACCAAGGAGUCUAACAUCUAUGCAAGUGUUUGGGUGUCAAACCCAUGCGCGUAAUGAAAGUGAACGGAGGUGAGAACCCUUAAGGGCGCAUCAUCGACCGAUCCAGAUGUCUUCGGAUGGAUUUGAGUACGAGCAUAGCUGUUGGGACCCGAAAGAUGGUGAACUAUGCCUGAAUAGGGUGAAGCCAGAGGAAACUCUGGUGGAGGCUCGCAGCGGUUCUGACGUGCAAAUCGAUCGUCAAAUUUGGGUAUAGGGGCGAAAGACUAAUCGAACCAUC